AGUGAACGCUGGCGGUAGGCCUAACACAUGCAAGUCGAACGGCAGCACAGUAAGAGCUUGCUCUUACGGUUGGCGAGUGGCGGACGGGUGAGGAAUACAUCGGAAUCUACUUUUUCGUGGGGGAUAACGUAGGGAAACUUACGCUAAUACCGCAUACGACCUACGGGUGAAAGCAGGGGAUCUUCGGACCUUGCGCGAUUGAAUGAGCCGAUGUCGGAUUAGCUAGUUGGCGGGGUAAAGGCCCACCAAGGCGACGAUCCGUAGCUGGUCUGAGAGGAUGAUCAGCCACACUGGAACUGAGACACGGUCCAGACUCCUACGGGAGGCAGCAGUGGGGAAUAUUGGACAAUGGGCGCAAGCCUGAUCCAGCCAUACCGCGUGGGUGAAGAAGGCCUUCGGGUUGUAAAGCCCUUUUGUUGGGAAAGAAAAGCAGCAGGUUAAUACCCCGCUGUUCUGACGGUACCCAAAGAAUAAGCACCGGCCAACUUCGUG
rnacentral:rRNA from 1 species